CCUACGGGUGGCUGCAGUGAGGAAUAUUGGUCAAUGGACGCAAGUCUGAACCAGCCAUGCCGCGUGCAGGAAGACGGCUCUAUGAGUUGUAAACUGCUUUUGUACGAGGGUAAACGCAGAUACGCGUAUCUGUCUGAAAGUAUCGUACGACUAAGGAUCGGCUCACUUCGUGCCCGCAGCCGCGGUAAUACGGAGGAUUCAAGCGUUAUCCGGAUUUGUUGGGUUUAAAGGGUGCGUAGGCGGUCGGAUAAGUUAGAGGUGAAAUCCCGGGGCGCAACUUCGGAAAGGCCUCUGAUACUGUGCGGCUAGAGAGUAGUAGCGGUAGGCGGAAUGUAGGGUGUAGCGGUGAAAUGCUUAGAGAU
rnacentral:rRNA from 1 species